UACGAAGGGGGCGAGCGUUGUUCGGAUUUACUGGGCGUAAAGGGCGCGUAGGCGGCCUUGUCAGUCAGGCGUGAAAGCCCCGGGCUCAACCUGGGAACGGCGCUUGGGACGGCGAGGCUGGAGUUCGGGAGAGGAGAGUGGAAUUCCCAGUGUAAAGGUGAAAUUCGUAGAUAUUGGGAAGAACACCGGUGGCGAAGGCGGCUCUCUGGACCGACACUGACGCUGAGG
rnacentral:rRNA from 1 species